GAGAGGGCCCGUCCCCACUGUCCCCCAGGAGAGGGCCCGUCCCCACUGUCCCCCCAGGAGAGGGCCCCGUCCCCACUGUCCCCCCAGGAGAGGGCUCGUUCCCAUUGUCCCCCCAGGAGAGGCCUCGUCCUCACUGUCCCCCCCAGGAGAGGGGCCCACCCUCACUGUUCUGUCCCACCCCACCAGAGAGGGGCCCAUCCCCACUGUCCCCUCCCCCCAGGAGAGGGUCCUGUCCUCACAGUCCGUCCCCCCAGGGCCCAUCCUCACUGUCCCCCCCCCCAGGAGAGGGGCCCAUCCUCACCGUCCCUCACCAGGAGAGGGGCCUGUCCUCACUGUCCCCCAACCCCAGGAGAGGGGCCUGUCCUCACUGUCCUUCCCCCCCAGGGCCCGUCCUCAGUGUCCCCCCCAGGAGAGGGGCCCACCCUCACUGUUCUGUCCCACCCCACCAGAGAGGGGCCCAUCCUCACUUUGCCCCCAGGCUCCAUCCUCACUGCCACCCCCCCUUUCCCAGCACCAGGCCUCAGUCUAAGGGGACGCUGGGUCCUUUCUGUGGAUCUAGACAUUUCCAGUGUUUUUCAUUUAUUCUUUUUAAUAUGAGAAGAUGCAUAUGUCCGUUGCCGUCCCUCCUUCCUUAUCCACUCUUCUCCGCCCGCCUUUCCUCGCGUAGCCUCCAUCCUGGAGAUGGCUGGGUCGGAAGGAGUACGUGGCGAGCGGCCUCGCUGCUUUUGCAGCUGCUGGUGCCCCGCCGUGUGCCGUGUGCGUGGCAAAUCGCUUAAUCCAGCUGUUGCGGGGCUCGGGGAUGGUUGGCAGCCUCCGUCUUCCGUGCGCGGUCCUGCAACAGAGAGCCUCCCGCGUGCGUCUUCCGGGGCGAGUGCACCGCACCUGCGCUUGCAAUCUCAGGGCCUUCGUAAGUAAACAGAUGGAGAAAUCCCAGUUUUGUUCUGGGAUGAGGACUGCACAAAAAAGUUGCACAUGAGGACACGGGAGAGGACUGUCUACGACCCCAGAGAUAGGCCUCAAGAGGAAGCAGCCCUGCUCUCACCUUGACCUUGGACUUCCAGCCUCUAGCACUAGGCUGCCGUAGCAGAAGACCAAGGACAAGGCGGCUAAUGAAUGACAGACAGGUAUGUCCUCCACUGCUGGAAGCUGGGAGUUCAAGAUCAAGGCACCAGAAGAUUUCAUGGCAGGUUAGGGUUAGCACGCUAUGAAGGUGUGCACACGAGGUGUGUCUGCCCCAGGGCCGGCUUUAUUCGGUCCUCAAGCAAGGUUCACGUGACAAUGAAGCAGGUCCAGGAUUCCAAACUCAGGGACGUUUCACCACGUGUGGAACUUGACUUCUUGCACGUCCCACGAAGUGAAGCAAGACACAGGCCGCACAACAAAUGAGGUGGAACAGGACGUAAGUGAACCAUCCCAGGGCGAAGUGAGUGUGUGGGUGUGCAGUGGGGAUAAGGCCUCUGGCCUGUCUGGGUCCACUCUCGGCACGCACCGCUUCUUAUGUUCCAGCGGGGAAGGAUCUCUGUUCCUCGUGGAGGUCAUUCGGGCAGGGCCUUCCGCAGCGGGUGCCUUUUUGAAGUGGUCAGAUGUGGAGGGAUCAACGUCUGGGAAGUCUGAUGGUUUGCUGCAAAAAUCCUCCCUUGUCGAGGGAUGUCAUCCUGUCUGGGGCCCCUGCAGGCCUCCUGUGCUUCUGCAGGCUGUCGGGUCCGGGUGUUGGCAGCCUGCGCUGGUCUGAGUGAUAUCUGGUCUUCGCUCAGUACCGUUGGCUGCUGUGUCAUGCUUGCUUGACAUGAGUGACUCAUCUUGCUCUCUACAUUUCCUUGUUCAUAGAUGGCAUCUUCUCCUUGUGUCCUCACAGUGGGGAAGGGGCGAGGGAGCUCCCUGGGGUCUCCUUCUUAGGGGCGCUCACCCCAUCACCAGGGCUCCCCCUCCUGGCCCAAUCACCCCAAAGGCCCCGCCCCUACUGCCAUCACCUUGGGGGUCGGCUUCAGCGUGUGAGCUUCGGGAGAGCAGGUUCAGACCAUAGCAGUCCACUCCUGGCCCCCACAUCAUGUCCUUCCCCCAUGAGAGAUGGGCUCACUCCAUCCCAACAGCCUGAGUUUGAACUCAUUCGAGCAUCUACUCUAGGGUCGGAGUCCAAAGUCUCAUGUAGUUCAGGGGUGGGGAGACCCCAGGCACGUUCAUCCCGAGGCAGACCCCUCCCAGCUCUGAACCUGCCCGAACACAGUGCUGGGGCACAGGACAGACAUUCCCAUCCCGAAGGGGGAGCAGCUGGAAGGAAGGACGGGGUGACAGGGCUGAGCAAGUCUAAACUACAAGAAAAUCUGUGAGAGUUUGAGGCUUGAGAAGAACCCUCUGGCUGGAUCCUCUGCCCUCCAGGACUCCUGGGGCUUUGCUAGGCCAGGCUGGUUCCCCAAGGCUCAGGCGGCCCUGCCCCCUAGCUUUGGGUGCCACUCCCCCCAGGUGGAACUCCGUGCCAGGGCCCUGCCCCCGUGGUGGCUCCCUGGGGUUGGGGUCAUAGAGUUACAGCUCUACCUGGAGCCCUGUCCUUUGAAAUCUAGGUGGAGGCAGCCAUUGUCCCAGGACUCUGCAGGGGCAGGGGCGGGGGGAAGCACCUGCAGCCAUAGAGUGUGGGGGUGGAGCUGCACUAUGCACUAGCCUGGCCGUGCAGGGGCUGCUGCCCCUCCCUGAAGCCACCCUGCCCCUGACCCCAGUGCACUUGGGCAGCCAGCAGCAGAGUCGCUCUGAUGGUCCCUGAAGGCCUCAGCGUCCUUCUCCCUUGUCUUAGAGAAUAAUGUCUGAUCUCUUCAUCGAUGAUGACGGUCACUUGAACACAUUCUUCAUGUUCUCAGUUUUUGCAAUACAGAUAGGCUGGGAGUUUCCCAAAUCUGAAAGUUCUGCUUCCUUUCUGAUUAGCAAAUCCAUCUUUAAGACAUGUCUGCUUUACAGUAAGGCCUCGGGAGCAGCCAAGCCACAACUUCCACACUCUGCUUACACAGACUUUCAGCCAAAGGUCCAAUUUCCUCCCUCGCGCUCACUGUCCACCGAACACCAGGACACAACCGAGCCCAGCUGUCACCUGCGGCGGCAUCGGAGUUUCCAGGACCAUGGGUCUCGUUUCCGUCUGCCGCACCACCAGAGCGGCCUUCACCACCCACAUUUCCACCAGUGUUGUGUUCAGGAUCAGUCUUACUUGCAAUUCUGAAAUACAAAAGCUCCAAAACCAGAAAGUUGUGGGUUUUGUUUCUGUUUUUUGUAAUUUUGGUGCCAAAAUUCAAGUUGCUGCAAAACCUGACCUGACCCGAGGGGGCUAAUGCCCCAGCGACCCCCUGGCGUGCAGGGACCUUUUCUGGUCACUGACACUGUAUGUUUUAUUUUUUUAAAGAUUUUAUUUAUUCAUGAGAGACACACAGAGAGAGGGGCAGAGACCCAGGCAGGGGGAGAAGCAGGCUCCCUGCAGGGAAUCCGAUGCGGGACUUGAUCCCAGGACCCCAGGGUCAUGCCCUGAGCUGAGGGCAGAUGCUCAACCACUGAGCACCCCACCCCCCCGCCAGUGCUCUACUGUGUAUGUCUUAAAUUCUAGAAUGUGUUUUUCCUUUUGUGACUUUGGGUUUAAGAGCACGAUGAAUGAAUUUAAGAAGAGGGAAAGAUACCCCCUUGCUUGCUGGGGGAGGGACAUGUAAGAUUCGGUCCUUGUCAUAGCAGGAACCGAUACCAGGAACCCUAGAGGCUGCUUUUAGGCAACAGGCUAAAGCAGUGGAAAUGUGAGGAAGGCAGAAGGGCCCGCAGCUGGUGAGGGAGCAGAAGGCAGCUGAGGACAAGGCACCAGCGGACACCCUCAACCUCCCCCGCCCCCCAGCCCUGGGUGUGAUGCCUGUGACCUUCUUCCCGACCUUCCUCCCGGAAGCUCCCAACUGUCUUGAUCCUACUGCCUGGCUAGAGGGAAAAAACCUACCUUGGUUUGACAAUAGCAAGGCCUCUGUGUCUGUGAAUCUUCUUUAACAAAUGAAAAUCCAAAAAAAAAAAAAAAAAAAACACAUGAAAAUCCUU